rnacentral:rRNA from 1 species
GACGAACGCUGGCGGCGUGCUUAACACAUGCAAGUCGAGCGGAAGGGCCCUGCUUUUGUGGGGUGCUCGAGUGGCGAACGGGUGAGUAACACGUGAGUAACCUGCACUUGACUUUGGGAUAACUUCUGGAAACUGGGGCUAUAACCCCAUAGGAUCUCCUGCUGCAUGGUGGGGGUUGGAAAGUUUCGGCGGUUGGGGAUGGACUCGCGGCUUAUCAGCUUGUUUGUGUGGUAGUGGUUUUCCAAGGCUUUGACGGGUAGCCGGCCUGAGAGGGUUAACGGCGUCAUUGGGACUGCGAGACGGCCCAGACUCCUACGGGACGCAGCAGUGGGGAAUAUUGCACAAUGGGCGCACGCCUGAUGCAGCAACGCCGCGUGCGGGAUGACGGCCUUCGGGUGGUAAACCGAUUUCGCCUGUGACGAAGCGUGAGUGACGGUAAUGGGUAAAGAAGCACCGGCUAACUACGUG